UUCAUUUAAAUGAAUACUCGCGAAAAUCUUAGAUCUCAUUAUUUAAAACUAACCCUUUUUCAUUAAUAUGUUGAAAUAAUAUUUUUAUAGUGUGUUAAAUAUCACACCAAAGAACAUAAAACGAGUAGUUAUUUGAUAUUGAACGCUAUUCCUUUGACAACAGAAUCAAAAAUAAUUUUCACAACUACCAUAUCUCAGUCACUGACGACGUUAAAGGUUAAAAAACUUUAAUAAAGAUACAUUUUAAGAUAACAAUAACAUGUUAUAUAAUAUUUCAAAAGGUCAUAAUACGCUGGUUCGCUAUGUUCCAUAUAUUUUAUUACAUUUCAAAACGUCACAAAGAUGCUCUUCAAAUGUUUAAUGCACUCAAGGCUGUCAUAAAAUCAAAACAAAUUCCACAAAAAACUUACGUCACUUAAAAUAAUCUUUGAUUCCUCGUACAAAAUUAUUUUAUAAAUCCAAAAAUAGCGCCAUCCGGUUUUAAGCGUAUACGAGAACACGACAUUAAUCUUUAACUGUUCUACCAACAACCAGCUGAGAUUCGAGCUUGAACCAUUUGGCAAUUUAACAAGUCGGAGUUCAUAUUAAUUGGACGCGAACUAACACCAAGAGACGGAAAUUAUUAUUGUCCAGUGACAAACACUGUGAGAACCAAAACAGAUUUUCUAAAUUACUCAUCUUAAUACAAUGAUCCGCAAGCCAACAGAAACGGAGACCUUGAACGAAAUCAUGUGACAAAAACAUAAUUUAUUCAAAUAAAAAGCGGUAAGUGUGAAAGGCACCUGCAGCGAACAUGGUACGUGGUCGGCGGUUGUCAUGUGAUCCACGUUGACGCAUAGAAAGCAACUAAAAUUACUUUCGUUGAGAACUAAAUAUAUUUAUUAUUAUUAUUAUACAAAAAUUUUAUUUAAUACCACGCAUUUGUAUUAUAAAAGCCUUGCAAUUUUUACGUAUUCAUUGUGCAAAUAUGCAGUCCGUAAGCGAAAUUGAAAGAGAUACUGAUGAUCGUAAAAAUAUUCAUAAAAAAAAUGUGCAUAAUUUAUAAAAAACAGCAGACAUUUCAAGUUAAACCACUUUGCACGUGGUGAAUUUUAUUAAAUCCUAAUCUAUUGUUUGCUAUAUUUAAUAAUAGAAUGAAUGAGUGAAUGAUUUUUUUACGCAAUUCCACUGCAUAAAUACUGUCCAAUCACUGACAACCUUGAAAUUAAACUAAUUCAUAGUAAAAAUGACUUUUGGAUUUUAUUUAGUAUAAAUCUAAUGUGAUAAUGUUUGUUAAAUAUGUAUAUUUAAACGCUAUUUAGCGUCAACAUUCUUAAAUAAUUAUAAUUUGUAUACAGCAUAAUGCCCAUAAAAAUAUUGACUGAAAAUAAAUUCAGUGUCAGAUAAUUUCUCACAAAACUGAAACAGCAAUGGACAUUUGUACUUUCCAAGAGUAUUUAGACACCACGGACAGACAGCGAAGGAAAACAUCGUGAGGAUACCUGGACUUAUAAUUUCAAAUUAUAAGUUUGAAAUCGCCAAUCCGCCUUGAGCAAGUGUGGUGGUUAAUGCUGUAACUUUCCAUAAAAAGAGGCCUUCUAAAGAGGCCUUUGCUCAAUAGUGGGCACCAAUGAGCUGAUGAUGAUGAACUAGAUUGUUUUAAUAUUCUUGUCGGUUGUAAUCAACUAUAAAUUUAUAUCAAAAUAAUCAUAAGAAUUCGGCCAUUUCACUUAAAUAAGUUAAUGUUGGUAAGAAUUGUCAUAAAUAAUUAUCACCCAGGAACAUCCAUUGUUACAAACAUUAAUAUUAUAGAGUUGGAAGUAUAAUUGUA